GAAUAAGAAGCAAUUAAUGCAAUUAGUUUCGACCUAAUAAAUUGGUAUUAACUUACCCUUAUUUA
rnacentral:tRNA from 1 species